GACGAACGCUGGCGGCGUGCUUAACACAUGCAAGUCGAACGGAAAGGCCCUGCUUUUGUGGGGUGCUCGAGUGGCGAACGGGUGAGUAACACGUGAGUAACCUGUCCUUGACUUUGGGAUAACUUCAGGAAACUGGGGCUAAUACCGGAUAGGAGCUCCUGCUGCAUGGUGGGGGUUGGAAAGUUUCGGCGGUUGGGGAUGGACUCGCGGCUUAUCAGCUUGUUGGUGGGGUAGUGGCUUACCAAGGCUUUGACGGGUAGCCGGCCUGAGGGGGUGACCGGCCACAUGGGGACGAAGAUAGGCCCCAAACUCUGCGGGGAGGAGGAGGUGGGAAAUUUGGCCCAAGGGGGGGAGCCCGAAUGAGGAAACGCGCGGGGCGGAAGGAGGGCUUUGGGGUUGUAAACCGCUUCCCCUGGGAACGAGGGUGGGUGGCCGUAAUUGGGAAAAGAAGCCCCGGCAAACUCGUU
rnacentral:rRNA from 1 species